GUCCUCAUUCUUAUCUUUAUUUUUGCAUACUUCGUGCUCAUAAAACUUAUGUAUUCAAGCCAAGGUUAGCCUACCUUUUGUGUUCCUGCAUUUAGCUUAUGCAUCAUUAUUUUAUUUUAAGGAAUAAUAUGGCGGAUUCUGCUUUGCAUUUCCAAUAUGGUGACAAAAGAUUGAAAAUUUACCUAGGCAAAUAGAUUGUUGUGGGAGUACCCUAGGCAUUGAGAGGUUCUUGUUUGCUUGGCAAUAAAGAGUGGUAGAUCCCUGCUCUAAUUUACGAUUGUUUGGGUAUUUUCGUAAGAAUAACUUGCAGGAAUCAAACCUAUUAGACUUCCCAGCCUGCAAUCUUUUUAAGUGCCCA
rnacentral:lncRNA from 1 species